GAUGAACGCUGGCGGCGUGCUUAACACAUGCAAGUCGAACGGAAAGGCCCUGCUUUUGUGGGGUGCUCGAUUGGCGAACGCGUGAGUAACACGCGAGUAACCUGUCCUUGACUUUCGGAUAACAUCAGGAAACUGGGGCUAAUAUCGGAUAGGAGCUCCUGCUGCAUGGUGGGGGUUGGAAAGUUUCGGCGGUUGUGGAUGGAAUCGCGGCUUAUCAGCUUGAUGGUGGGGUUGUGGCUGUCCAAGGCUUUGACGGGUAGCCUGCCUGGGAGGGUGACCGGCGACAUGAGGCCUACGGUACGGACCAGACUCGUACGGGAGGCAGCAGUCGGGAGCAUUGCGCAGCGAGCCCGAGCGUGUUACGAAGGCGCCCGGUUCGGGAUGCCGGCUUACUGGUUAAAAACCGCUUUCGCCUGAGACGAGGCGGUAGUGACGGUAAUGGAUAAGAAAGCACCGGCUAACUACGUG
rnacentral:rRNA from 1 species